rnacentral:rRNA from 1 species
AACGAACGCUGGCGGCGCGCCUAAUACAUGCAAGUCGAGCGAGAAGACGUAGCAAUACGUUUGUAAAGCGGCGAACGGGUGAGGAAUACAUGGGUAACCUACCCUCGAGUGGGGAAUAACUAGCCGAAAGGUUAGCUAAUACCGCGUACGCUCCUUGGACUUCGGUUCAGGGAGGAAAGCGAUACCGCGGGUAUCGCGCUCUUGGAUGGGCUCAUGUCCUAUCAGCUUGUUGGUGAGGUAACGGCUCACCAAGGCUUCGACGGGUAGCUGGUCUGAGAGGACGAUCAGCCACACUGGCACUGCGACACGGGCCAGACUCCUACGGAGGCAGCAGUAAGGAAUAUUGCGCAAUGGGCGAAAGCCUGACGCAGCGACGCCGCGUGGGGGAUGAAGGUCUUCGGAUUGUAAACCCCUUUCGGGAGGGAAGAUGGAACGAGCAUCGUUCGGACGGUACCUCCAGAAGCAGCCACGGCUAACUUCGUGCCAGCAGCCG